CGCUGACUCCGUGUCCCGUCCGCAGGUACACCAUCUUCAAGGACCACGUCACGCUGGGAGACUAUGAGAUCCACGACGGGAUGAACCUGGAGCUCUACUACCAGUAGCCGCAGCGCCCAUUCCCGGCCCCAUUCCCGGCCCCAUUCCCGACCUGUUCCCGCAUCCCAAAACGAUGCCGCUUCCCGUUUUUCCCGCUUGUGCACCCGGAAAGCCAGGAGCCCCGGCUGCACCAGCCCCCCUCGUGCCCCAUGGUGGCUCCGCAGCCCCCGGGGUGUUUUUUUGCCCCUAAUUUCUAAUAAAUCGGUCCCUUUACUCGGC